rnacentral:rRNA from 1 species
UAAUACAGAGGUGGCAAGCGUUGUUCGGAAUUACUGGGCGUAAAGGGCGCGUAGGCGGCCAUCUAAGUCAGACGUGAAAUCCCCCGGCUUAACCUGGGAACUGCGUCUGAUACUGGACGGCUUGAGUAUGGGAGAGGGAUGUAGAAUUCCAGGUGUAGCGGUGAAAUGCGUAGAUAUCUGGAG